rnacentral:rRNA from 1 species
UACGUAGGUGGCAAGCGUUGUCCGGAAUUAUUGGGCGUAAAGCGCGCGCAGGCGGCCUCUUAAGUCUGAUGUGAAAGCCCCCGGCUCAACCGGGGAGGGCCAUUGGAAACUGGGAGGCUUGAGUAUAGGAGAGAAGAGUGGAAUUCCACGUGUAGCGGUGAAAUGCGUAGAGAGUGUGGAGGAACACCAGUGGCGAAGGCGACUCUUUGGCCUAUAACUGACGCUGAGGCGCGAAAGCGUGGGGAGCAAACAGG